rnacentral:rRNA from 1 species
GCCUAAAGCGUCCGUAGCCGGCUCUGUUAGUUUUCGGUUAAAUCCAUAUGCUCAACAUAUGGGCCGCCGGGAAUACUACAAAGCUAGGGAGUGGGAGAGGUAGACGGUACUCCGUAGGAAGGGGUAAAAUCCUUUGAUCUAUGGAUGACCACCAGUGGCGAAGGCGGUCUACCAGAACACGUUCGACGGUGAGGGAUGAAAGCUGGGGGAGCAAACCGGAUUAGAUACCCGGGUAGUCCCAGCUGUAAACUAUGCAAACUCAGUGAUGCAUUGGCUUGUGGCCAGUGCAGUGCCGCAGAGAAGUCGUUAAGUUUGCCGCCUGGGAAGUACGUACGCAAGUAUGAAACUUAAAGGAAUUGGCGGGGGAGCACCACAAGGGGUGAAGCCUGCGGUUUAAUUGGAGUCAACGCCAGAAAUCUUACCCGGAGAGACAGCAGGAUGAAGGUCAAGCUGAAGACUUUACCAGACAAGCUGAGAAGUGGUGCAUGGCCGUCGCCAGCUCGUGCCGUGAGGUGUCCUGUUAAGUCAGGUAACGAGCGAGAUCCUUGCCUCUAGUUGCCACCAUUACUCUCAGGAGUAGUGGGGCGAAUUAGCGGGACUGCCGUAGUUAAUACGGAGGAAGGAGAGGGCCACGGCAGGUCAGUAUGCCCCGAA